AUGGAAGCAUUUAGACUAGUGAAGGGGGCAAAUCAGAUUCGAUCACUUAAAAGACCCGGGGACACUAGGUGGGGUUCUCAGUUUGGUUCUAUUCAUAGCCUUAUGAAGUUGUUUAAUGCGGUAAAUUUUGUUAUCCAAGAUAUGGCUUCAGAUGGAUUAGUAGUGGGAUCAAUACGUGCUGAUCCUGACACUUCUUUCAGCUAUUUGUCCUCGUUCGAGUUUGUCUUUAUCUUAUGUAUGAUGAAAGAGAUAUUAGGGAUAACUGAAGGACUUGGUCAGGCUUUACAAAAGAGGUCACAAGACAUUGUAAAUGUUGUUCGUCUAGUGUCUGCGACAAAAGAGUGUCUUCGUCAGUUGAGACUGAACAAAGGCUGGGAGGAAUUCUUUUGCAUAGUUGUUGAAUUUUGUGUGAAUCAUGGCACUGAAAUUCCAGACAUGAAGGAAACUUAUAUCAUGCGUGGUGGCCAUGCACGGCAUCAGCCUGAUCAUUUCACUAAGGAGCAAUAUUUUUGA
rnacentral:rRNA from 1 species